AAACUACAAAGGAAUUGACGGGACCCGCACAAGCGGUGGAUGAUGUGGAUUAAUUCGAUGCAACGCGAAAACCUUACCUACCCUUGACAUGUCCGGAAUCCCGAAGAGAUUUGGGAGUGCUCGCAAGAGAACCGGAACACAGGUGCUGCAUGGCUGUCGUCAGCUCGUGUCGUGAGAUGUUGGGUUAAGUCCCGCAACGAGCGCAACCCUUGUCAUUAGUUGCCAUCAUUGGUUGGGCACUCUAAUGAGACUGCCGGUGACAAACCGGAGGAAGGUGGGGAUGACGUCAAGUCCUCAUGGCCCUUAUAGGUGGGGCUACACACGUCAUACAAUGGCUGGUACAAAGGGUUGCCAACCCGCGAGGGGGAGCCAAUCCCAUAAAGCCAGUCGUAGUCCGGAUCGUAGUCUGCAACUCGACUACGUGAAGUCGGAAUCGCUAGUAAUCGUGGAUCAGAAUGUCACGGUGAAUACGUUCCCGGGUCUU
rnacentral:rRNA from 1 species